AAUGAACGCUGGCGGCGUGCCUAACACAUGCAAGUCGCACGAGAACGUUUCAGCUUGCUGAGACUAUUAAAGUGGCGCACGGGUGAGUAACGCGUGGGUAAUCUACCCUUAAGUCGGGAAUAACUUAUCGAAAGGUGAAUUAAUACCGGAUAACACUGCAUAACUACUGUUGUGUAGUCAAAGAAGGCCUCUGCUUGCAAGCUUUCGCUGAAGGAUGAGUCCGCGUACCAUUAGCUAGUUGGUAGGGUAAUGGCCUACCAAGGUUAUGAUGGUUAGCUGGUCUGAGAGGAUGAUCAGCCACACUGGAACUGAAACACGGUCCAGACUCCUACGGGUGGCAG
rnacentral:rRNA from 1 species